CGACUUGAUUACCUCUUUCUACUCCAGGGCUUAGAACGGUUCUGCUUCCUCUGCCCAGGCUGUGGUGCACAGGGGCAGAGUGAAGGAAAGUUGACUUCUGCCAGUCGUACCGGGCCCUAGUCGGCCCUGGUUGCCGUCAGCCCCCAGCCCCCUGGCCCAGACUGGCCAAAGCCAGGCCCCCACCUGGUUGAGCAGGAGGCUGAUGACGAGGGUCCCACCGCUGUCCAUGCCGGAGCGGAGGCUAAGCAGCAGCAGCGUGGGCAGCCCGGCCUGCACAGCCACGCUGGGCCCGUCAAGUAGCCGGAAACGCACCGAUACCACGUCCAGGUCCUCACGCACUACCGGUUGGCUGCGCAGGCAGAAGGGCCCCCCCAUGGGCUCAUCUGGAGCCCCACCGGGCCACAGAGGCCCAUAGGAGGCCACAGGCAGCAGAGGGGAAGAAGGGCUGUGACUCUGGUUGAGGCCGGCAUAGAAGCUGAGGACAGAGGCGACGUGUCCCGGUCGGCACACUGUUUGGCAGAGAUCGGAGGUUGGAUCUUCUGCGAGGCACGGGGCAGGUGAGCAGCGAUGAACCAGUCCCCCGGAGCGGGGCUGGAGACGUUGACGAGCGUGUGGUUCUGCAGCGUGACCGACAGCGUCAUGGGCAGACGGAAAGACGGCCACACGGAGGUCCCCCCGUCCUCCCCACCACCCCGAGGACGCACACACUGAUCUCAACGUCACCGCACUGGGGCCCUGGGUCCCGAGAAGCCUGUAGCAACCACCGUAGCAGCACUGUGUCCGGGGGCACGCGGAAUUGGAAGAGCUUGGCGUGGCCGUACCAUUCGUAGAAGGACAGCUUCUGGGCGCUCUGGGAGAAGUACUCGGACACGUAUGGAGAGUCUGCAAGAGUGGCCUCAAAGUGCCGCGACGUCAAAGCGCCCCAGGAAACUUCCUCUGGGUCCUGGCCUCUCAACUGCCCGAGGACAGGCUCUAAGCGUCACAGGAGGCGUCCGGGUGCAAACCAGCCCGAACUUGCACCCGCAGCAUCGUGGUGCCCAGCAUCCUCAUCGUCGGCCUCCUCCUCUCCCCUCGUCAUCCUCCUCAUCAUAAUAGUUGAGCGCCGACUCUCUGCCAAGCGCUGGGCUGGAGACAGACGGGACGCGGGGCCGGGCACCGUCCCUUCCCCCAGGCCCGGAGAAGAGGAGGGGGGCGGUCGCGGGAAGGGCCCACUGAUCCUCCCCCCCGCCCGCCCCCCAGCACUUCUGUAUACCCGUACAUAGCUAUAAUUCUAUUGAUUUAUAUUGAUGCCCGUGUACUUGUUUGGAUGUGUAUAGAUCUAUAAUUCUUGUUAUUUAUAUCGUUGCCGGUUUGCUUGUUUUGAUGUGUCUCCCCCCCCUCUAGACAGUAAGCCCGG